UACGAAGGGGGCUAGCGUUGUUCGGAAUUACUGGGCGUAAAGCGCGUGUAGGCGGGUCUUUAAGUCGGUGGUGAAAUCCUGGAGCUCAACUCCAGAACUGCCUUCGAUACUGGGAAGCUCGAGUCCGGGAGAGGUGAGUGGAACUGCGAGUGUAGAGGUGAAAUUCGUAGAUAUUCGCAAGAACACCAGUGGCGAAGGCGGCUCACUGGCCCGGUACUGACGCUGAGGUGCGAAAGCGUGGGGAGCAAACAGG
rnacentral:rRNA from 1 species